UUUUUUUUUUUUUUUUUUUUUUUUUUUUCUCC
rnacentral:ribozyme from 1 species